CCUACGGGUGGCAGCAGUGAGGAAUAUUGGUCAAUGGGCGCGAGCCUGAACCAGCCAAGUAGCGUGAAGGAUGACUGCCCUACGGGUUGUACACUUCUUUUAUAAAGGACUAAAGUGAGGCACGUGUGCCUUUUUGUAUGUACUUUAUGAAUAAGGAUCGGCUAACUCCGUGCCAGCAGCCGCGGUAAUACGGAGGAACCGAGCGUUAUCCGGAUUUAUUGGGUUUAAUGGGAGCGUAGAUGGGUUGUUAAGUCAGUUGUGAAAGUUUGCGGGUCAACCGUAAAAUUGCAAUUGAUACUGGCAGUCUUGAGUACAGUUGAGGUAUGCGGAAGUCGUGGUGUAGCGGUGAAAUGCUUAGAUAUCACGAAGAACUCCGAUUGCGAAGGCAGCUUACUAAACUGCCACUGACAUUGAUGCUCGAAAGUGUGGGUAUCAAACAGGAUUAGAUACCCGUGUAGUC
rnacentral:rRNA from 1 species